rfam:Schistosoma mansoni strain Puerto Rico chromosome 4, complete genome
AAUCUGCUGAGGAGUUCCACAAUAGGACGAAACGGCCGUCCAGUGU